UAUAGAACUCAAGAUAUGAACUGAAAACCGAACAGUGUUUGAGCUGCAGGACAGAUUACUACUUCUCCGUUGUUGCUAAGAUUUGAACUUGAAAAUGGCAGAAUUGAGUCUUAGACAGCUCAUGAAAGUUUUAGGUCUAUGUCUUAGCUUUCCAUC
rnacentral:pre_miRNA from 1 species